rnacentral:lncRNA from 1 species
UCUGAAUAAAUUGUUGCUUUCCAACAAACAGACCCUAAACCCAGUGUUUAGCAACUAACUCUGAUUUUCGCUGUUCCCGCUCACGCGUUACUCUGUUUCCCGCUCGCAUCACGCGCCCAGGUUUCUUCUUAUUCCAGACGCCUGCACACACGAUACAUUCCACGGCGCCGUCAACCUCCCCAGCACAGGGCACCACAGAUCUCCUCGCCUUGGAUCACCUCCGCGCAUCCAUAUUCUGGUCAGCGGCCCUCUAUCUCCCUCCAUCCUGUAUUCCAUUUGCAUUGUUUCUGCAAAAGUCAGGUCCUGCAAUCUCCUGUGCAUUUGUUCCCCAUGGAAGAGAUAAUAAAGUGCCAAAGAUUCUUUGAUUAUGUUGCUUCUAAUCAAACCAUUGACGUUGUAGCCCAUAUGUUCUUGCCAGCAUUGUUCCAUGAGUUGUAUCUUGUAUGAAUAAUUUAUUCAGAACCUGUUGUACAAUUGCAACUAGUAUGUAGCAUGUUGAUCAACUUCAUUUUGCAGUGUAUAUCGUCAUAUGUUGUGAUAUGUGACAGCUUAUAUUUAGUAAAUGGGUAACUGAAAUAAUUUUAUAUUCUGCCAUAUGUCCACUGCAGAAAGAUGUCUGCAACUACGAUAUCUAUGAUCCACCGCGAAGAUGAACAAUCAUACAAUGAACUUGACCACUUCAUGCUUUUCUUGAUGGGUGCAUAUCAGAAGAGGAAGCAAAAGCAGCGAAAAAGACAUCGAGGUUCAGUUUUUGGACACAAGGUUUACAAUCGAAG